GGCAGUUUAGCUUAAUGGUACAGCACUUGACGUGUAAUCACAUGGAUGUGAGUUCGAGUCUCAUGGCUGACU
rnacentral:tRNA from 1 species